UAGUAAUGGCGAAUGAAAAGAGAUGUGCUUAGUGUCGAAAUCAGGUUGCCCUGACUUGUAGGCUGUAGGUGCUAUGCCAACUUGGGUGCAGGUGCAAGUCUCUUGGAAAGGAGCACCAGUGAGGGUCAGGGUCCCGCCUGUCAUCUGUCAUCCCUUGUAUACGGUUUGCUCAUGGAGAGUCGUGUUCUUCUGGAAUAGAGCGCAAAGUGGGUGGUACUCUGUGCCCAAGGAGCAUUACGUGCUUGAGACCAAUAGUGAACAAGUACCAUGAGGGAAGGGUGAAAAGGACUUUGGAAAGAGGGUAAAGAGAGCGUGAAGCUGCUGGAAGGGAAGUGGAUUGGACUUUUAUUGUGGCAAGAUUGCACGCUGUCGUCCUCAUCUCUGGGGAACUGCAGAGUGUGUCUCUUGCUUCUUGGUUUUGCCUCAUGUUGCGCUGGGAAACCUGGUGUGGACUGGCUGAAGGAUUGCGAUCUGGACCAUGUCCUUGCACUUGCCUGGCGCAGCAUUUGCUUGACCAAAUAGUUCAAUUUUACCCGUCUUGAAACACGGACCAAGGAGUCUAAUGCGUGUGCAAGUGUGAGGGAAACACACCUGACAGCUCAACAAAGGUGACUGCUGGGAUCCUUGCACCAGCAUCCAACUGAUCGCUUAGGAGAUGUUUGUGUAUGAGCACACUUGCUAGGACCCGAAAGGUGGUGAACUAUGCCUGAGAAGGGUGACGUCAGGGGAAACUCUGAUGGAAGCUCGUAGCGCUACUGACGUGCAAAUCGUUCGUCUGACUUGGGUAUAGGGGCGAAAGACUAAUCGAACCAUCUAGUAGCUGGUUCCCUCCGAAGUUUCCCUCAGGAUAGCUGGAGCAGAACAGUUUUAUCAGGUAAAGCGAAUGAUUCGAGGCAUUGGGGGUAUGUUACCCUUGACCCACUCUCAAACUUUAAAUGGGUAAGCUCCACUGGUUGCCUAGGUGAUACAGGGGGUGGAAUAACAGCUCUAAGUGGGCCAUUUUUGGUAAGCAGAACUGGCGAUGAGGGAUGAACCUAGCAUUGGGGAAAAGUGCUUGACUGCUCGCUCAUGUGACACC
rnacentral:rRNA from 1 species